rnacentral:rRNA from 1 species
CUGGCGGCAGGCCUAACACAUGCAAGUCGAGCGGCAGCGGGAAAGUAGCUUGCUACUUUUGCCGGCGAGCGGCGGACGGGUGAGUAAUGCCUGGGAAAUUGCCCAGUCGAGGGGGAUAACAGUUGGAAACGACUGCUAAUACCGCAUACGCCCUACGGGGGAAAGCAGGGGACCUUCGGGCCUUGCGCGAUUGGAUAUGCCCAGGUGGGAUUAGCUAGUUGGUGAGGUAAUGGCUCACCAAGGCGACGAUCCCUAGCUGGUCUGAGAGGAUGAUCAGCCACACUGGAACUGAGACACGGUCCAGACUCCUACGGGAGGCAGCAGUGGGGAAUAUUGCACAAUGGGGGAAACCCUGAUGCAGCCAUGCCGCGUGUGUGAAGAAGGCCUUCGGGUUGUAAAGCACUUUCAGCGAGGAGGAAAGGUUGAUGCCUAAUACGUAUCAACUGUGACGUUACUCGCAGAAGAAGCACCGGCUAACUCCGU